CAUUCAAAAUACUCUCUCGACCACUGGAUGCUGCUCUUUGCAUCAGGCUAUGAAAAGAGAACCAUUUUCACUGUCUAAUUCUGCUGCUGUACAUUUUGGUACCUAUGUAAAGAUCCAAGAAUAAAUUUUGGCCUGGACCAUGGAAUAUUUACUCACUUUGAAAUGCAGAUGUGACCUGCCUUCUCCUUCUGCAACUAACAGGGUGACCAGAGGCAGUGGAAUGUACACCAGGACUGGAAAGAACAGAACCAGAGGGAAAGCAAACUGUCAAGAGAACAGUGUACUGAAGAGGAAAAAUUUUUUCAUACAGAAUACACCUUCUGCCUGGAAGAGGUGCAACACUUCCUCCAGUCCCUGUGUCUGCCUUGCAGAACAAAGUCAAAUUAUGGCUACAGGAAUGUUUCCCUUAUGUGGAGAGCAAUUCACAGCCAUCACAGUGCCUCCCUCCUGUCUUCUACAAGCUGUGAAUUUACCGCCUGUGGUAAACAAGCCUCCUCGAGGCUCCCCGUAGUGUGCGUGGUGUCUGGCGGCUGGAGCAGGAGACAUUUCCACAACUGCUACCCUUUCAGCUGAAUGUGGCCAUGCAGUAGGUGGCCAAAUCUGUUUGGCUUUCACCGAGAUCUGUGAAUUCCCUGCAUCCAACCAACUUGUCAAAUUAAAACCUUGCCUGCUCUGUGCUGAAGAACAGACGUGCGAUGGAAGCUUCUUGCACUCUAGCCCUUUGUCACCAGCACGCUGAGCUCCCAACAUCUGCUCGCUGGACUCGGCUUUUGCACCUUGUUCAUUUAUAAUGCAGCAAACCUCAGCUUCCACAGCACAGGACUUAAUGUGCCCCUGGCUUAAAAAAAAGAAAUUCAGAAAAAGGAACAUCCAGAGGGGAGGAGAAGAGAAAUUGAGGCUCUAAUAUAUACUUUCCUCACCGAUUUGGGAAUAAACAUAUUUUUAAGUGAGAGGUUUGUUGGAUU
rnacentral:lncRNA from 1 species